CUCAUAGAGAUGAAUUGAAUCAAUGCAUCUCUAUGAGGAAAGUUCAGUGUCUGCAUGCAGAGGGAGGAGAUACUGAAUGUUUGGAUGCAUUUUAGGCAGCCAUGACCCAGGAGGGAUCUCUAACAGCCAUCUGAGGAGUGGCCAGUGAAGUUAUCACUAGGCUGUAAUGUAAACACUGCAUUUUCUCUGAAAAGACAGUGUUUACAGCAAAAAG